rnacentral:rRNA from 1 species
ACGCUGGCGGCAUGCCNUAUACAUGCAAGUCGAACGAGAAAGCCCUUCGGGGUUAGUAUAGUGGCGCACGGGUGAGGAACGCAUAGGAACGUACCUUUAGGUGGGGAAUAACCACGGGAAACUGUGGCUAAUACCGCAUGUGCUCGAAAGAGGAAAGGUGGCCUCUACUUGUAAGCUACCGCCUGAAGAUUGGCCUAUGUCCCAUUANCUUGUUGGUAGGGUAAUGGCCUACCAAGGCUGCGAUGGGUAGCUGGUCUGAGAGGACGAUCAGCCACACUGGAACUGAGACACGGUCCAGACUCCUACGGGAGGCAGCAGUAGGGAAUUUUGCACAAUGGGGGAAACCCUGAUGCACAAUGCCGCGUGAGUGAANAAGGCUUUCGGGUCUAAAGCUCUUUCGGCUGGGAAAAUGGGUGGGUUUGNUNAUANUNAAUCUUUNACNGNCCNAANAAAAACNCCNNUACUCC